rnacentral:sRNA from 1 species
CACACUAGUACAGCGAAGCUACAAGUCUCAGUCAGAAAUGUCGAGUUUGAUCAAAUCAAUUACUUUGCAAAUGAGACAGAAAAUGACAAAAGUCUACCGAGGCUCAUCUGCCAGUUAGGAAGUCCAGCCAAGCAAAUAGCAGCUGUCAAAUAUACUCUCUACAAUUACAAUGGUCAGUUCAAACUAGAUGCUGGCAAUGGCCAACUUUCGGUUGUGCAAUCUUUAGACAGAGAAUCUCUCUCGGUGUAUGUACUGAAUGUCUCAGUCAGUAUCGUUGCCGAUGGUCAGUCGCAAGGUAGAAGAAAAAGAGAGGCACAAAAUUUAGCUGUUGGUUAUGCCAAAGUGAUUGUCCAAGUUGGGGAUGAGAAUGACAACAUUCCCACAUUUGGUUCUAGUCUGUACUUUAAUCUACCAGCCUCUAUAUCUGAUGGUGCUUUGAUAUCACAGAUUCAAGCAUUUGAUCCAGAUGAAGGGAUCAAUGGACUGCUGCAAUACAGAAUUACCAAAGGAAACAGUGCAGCAUUUAGCCUUGAACUUCAAAGUGGACAAUUCAAGGUAAACAACUCUACAGUGCUAAGU